GUACACGCUGUGACUAGCAUAUCAAUAAGCGGAGGAAAAGAAACUAACAAGGAUUCCCCUAGUAACGGCGAGUGAAGCGGGAAGAGCUCAAAUUUGAAAUCUUAAAGGGUUUCCCUUUACGAAUUGUAGUUUAAAGAAGUGUUUUCUGUUGAGGUUUUGGUAAAAGUUCUUUGGAAUAGGACAUCAUAGAGGGUGAGAAUCCCGUAUUUGACCUUUACUUUCAACUUUGUGAUACACUUUCAAAGAGUCGGAUUGUUUGGGAAUGCAGUCCAAAAUGGGUGGUAAAUUUCAUCUAAAGCUAAAUAUUGGCGAGAGACCGAUAGCGAACAAGUACCGUGAGGGAAAGAUGAAAAGAACUUUGAAAAGAGAGUUAAACAGUACGUGAAAUUGUCAAAAGGGAAGCGUUUGACACCAGUGUUGUUUUUCUGAAAAUCAAUUAAAGAACUGUUUAUGCUAAGUUGUUUAGACUUUAUCAGCUAACUGUUUAGUUUUGAGCUUUUCUUUAAUGCACCUUUCAGUUAACAAGUCAACAUCAAUUUCUUUUGCUGUAAAAAAGCUUGAGGAAGGUGGCUUGAGAUUCGUCUUAAGUGUUUAUAGCCUCUUGCCUAUGCAGUCGGAGAGAUUGAGGUCUGCAGCGUAGAUCCUUCGGGGCUAAAUGCAUUUGUGCUAAGUUAUAGCAUUUUAUAGACAACUUGUUGACUAUGAUUUGUCUUGUAGCUUACUCGCUUAUGUUAUUUUACCUACGCUUAGGAUGUUGACAGCAGUAUAGACUGU
rnacentral:rRNA from 1 species